GCUAUUUCAGGUUGGUUGGAUGUUAAUAGAAGUGCAUAAGGUCUAUCCCAAAACUGUUAGUACAUUGCCCGAGUCCUUGGCCUUUUUAUUAUUACCUGAAUUACCCCAGAUGGUGUGCUACUACUACUAGUAGGUCGCUGUAUGUGUGUACAUGUGUGCAUCAACUCGAUUGUUCACUCUUUGCGCCCCCAGACAGGUCUUGCUACUGUAAAAGUAUUUUAGAGCAUAGUCGGUAGACGGCCAAUAUUGAAACGGAGUUCUCCGCUAGACAGACUGCCGGUAGUCAUCGCGGCUAUGGAUACUGCUGCAACAGUUGCUAAUUCUCUUCACUGGGCGCUGUGCAACCUGAUGUCUGCCGUGCAGCGCACUAUGGCUAGAUUGGUACAUGCUCAGUCCGCUGAUCAAGAAAAGGCUCAACACGCCGAAGAGCGUGUGGCGACGCCUUCACAACAAGCAAAUUCGCAGGCGUCCCCUGCCAACUCAAAUCUAAUGCCGGCCCGUUCCCAUCCAAUGCGUACCCGUUCGCAAAAAGGAUCCAUAGUCAGCUGAGAAGCAAUGAGAAGAGGCCAGGUCCACGGACCAUCCUACCAGUGUUGUAGGGCCUCAAAUCUAUUCCGAAUGAACAGUACCUCCGAAUGUAUCAGCCACAAAUUUGCAUCUUGACAACAUGAUGCAUGCGCAUGCGCGCGUGUGUGUGUGAGUGUGUUUGUGUGUGCGUGCGUGUGCGUGCGCCCUGCAAGCGUGCGCGUUGGUGUGACACUGUGUGUUGCGAGCCUUGUUUGAAAAGUGCAAACGGCGUCUUCUCACCACAUCUGUGUCUGCUUAGUCUGCUUGUUGCAUUUGCCGUGCGCUGGACAGUAGAACUUGAUCAAUCCAAGGUGCAGUUGUCUUUCGCUUUUACGCGAAGCCAAGAGAAGCGGUGUUUGAUGGAGAAUACAAUAUGUACAAGGCCUAAAACUGCUGCUUAAUAUUGUUUAAAUACUAUUAUCCACUUCCUACGGCAAAACAACUUCACAUUAUUAUACGCUCUUUACCAGCCUAAUCAUAAAUCAGAGAUUUCACAUAAACCCGUUUUCAGGGUAUCGACUUCAGUAAUAAUUUUUUCCUCCUCCCUUUUCUUUCUUGUGUUGUACCUUCUUGGAGAUCACGUAGUGAGGCAAAUAUGCCUGUUUGUCCAUCGACGCUAACACAUCAA